CCUACGGGGGGCAGCAGUGGGGAAUAUUGCGCAAUGGGGGAAACCCUGAUGCAGCGACGCCGCGUGAGUGAAGAAGUAAUUCGUUAUGUAAAGCUCUAUCAGCAGGGAAGAAAAUGACGGUACCUGAGUAAGAAGCACCGGCUAACUACGUGCCAGCAGCCGCGGUAAUACGUAGGGGGCAAGCGUUAUCCGGAUUUACUGGGUGUAACGGGAGCGUAGACGGCAGUGCAAAUCUGGAGUGAAAGGCGGGGGCUCAACCCACGGACUGCUCUGGAAACUGUACGGCUGGAGUGCAUGAGAGGUAAGUGGAAUUCCUAGUGUAGCGGUGAAAUGCGUAGAUAUCAGGAGGAACACCAGUGGCGAAGGCGGCUAACUGGACUGUAACUGACGUUGAGGCGCGAAAGCGUGGGGAGCAAACAGGAUUAGAUACCCGUGUAGUC
rnacentral:rRNA from 1 species